rnacentral:rRNA from 1 species
CCUACGGGAGGCAGCAGUGGGGAAUCUUGCGCAAUGGGCGAAAGCCUGACGCAGCAACGCCGCGUGCGGGAAGAAGGCUUUCGGGCUGUAGACCGCUUUCAGCAGGAACGAAAAUGACGGUACCUGCAGAAGAAGGAGCGGCCAACUAUGUGCCAGCAGCCGCGGUGAUACAUAGGCUUCAAGCGUUGUCCGGAUUUAUUGGGCGUAAAGAGUUCGUAGGCGGUCGAGUAAGUCGGGUGUGAAAAUUCUGGGCUCAACCCAGAGACGCCACCCGAUACUGCUUGACUUGAGUUCGAUAGGGGAGUGGGGAAUUCCUAGUGUAGCGGUGAAAUGCGCAGAUAUUAGGAGGAACACCGGUGGCGAAGGCGCCACUCUGGAUCGAUACUGACGCUGAGGAACGAAAGCAUGGGUAGCAAACAGGAUUAGAUACCCUGGUAGUCCAUGCCGUAAACGGUGGGCACUAGGUGUGGGUUUCUAUUAACGAAAUCCGCGCCGUCGCUAACGCAUUAAGUGCCCCGCCUGGGGAGUACGGUCGCAAGACUAAAACUCAAAGGAAUUGACGG